rnacentral:lncRNA from 1 species
CCCAGCCCCCCAACCCUGGGGAUGUCAGAGAAGGCCUGGUGGGGAGCCAGGAUGCUCCUAGUGACAACAAGGCCACCUCCCACCGUGUCGAUGGAGCCAAACUCCUGUCCUGUCCUUCCUAGUCAAGGAGGUAUUGCCUACGGGGAGCCAGGACUUCCCCCUGCACCUUGUAGUGAUGAGGAGACCACACCCUUUGAGUGUCAAAGGAGGCCAUCAGGGGACCUAGGCUUCUACCAUCACCAGGCAAUAAUGAAAUAAUGAUCUCACGACCUCACUUCUUCUGCUAGACAGUGUCAAAAGAAAGCAACUAAAACAACAUUUAAAUAAGAUCCAGUCUCAUAGGGCACUGUCUAAGGUGUACAGGAUUUAAUAAAAAUAUCACUCAUUAUUUCAAGAGCCAGACAGAUCUCAAAUAAAUCAAUGCCAACACAUUAAUUGAUAGGAGAGGCAAUUUGGGUUAUCUCACAAAUAUUUGAAAGCAGCUAUAAUAAAAAGGCUUUGGUGAACAAUUACGGACAUGCUCGAAACAAAUGAAAAUCUGAAAAUUCUCCGAAGUAAAAGCUAUCCAGCACCAAAUGAGAAUUUUAGAAUUGAAAAGGGUAACAAUCAAAAAAUGCAAUAGACAGGCCUGAUAGCAAAAUAGUUGACACAGAGGAAAGACUGGGUGAACUUGAACAUGAAACAACUAUAACUUAUCCAAGCUGAAGAGUAGGAGGAAAAUAGACUUCAAAACCUACUAUUUAUUAUUUUAUAACAAAGGGUCUAAUAUUAAUCUCCUCAGAGGCUCAGAAGCAGCACUGAAAGAAAGUAGGUCUAAAAAAAUUACUGGAAGAUACAAUAAUUGAAAUACUCCCUGAAUUUGGCAAGAAACACAAACCUACAGAUUGAAGAAGCCAAGUGAAACCCAAAUGGAAUGAAUGUAAAGAAAUCCACACUGAGACACAUUACAUCAGAUGUCUGAAAACUAAAGAGAAGAAGAAGAAAAAAAUAUCUGGAAAGCGGCAGAAAGAAGCAACACCUUAUAUAUAGGAGAAAGUCAG